AUUGAACGCUGGCGGCAGGCCUAACACAUGCAAGUCGAGCGAGCGGCGGACGGGUGAGUAAUGUAUGGGGAUCUGCCUGAUGGAGGGGGAUAACUACUGGAAACGGUAGCUAAUACCGCAUACCAUCAGAUGAACCCAUAUGGGAUUAGCUAGUAGGUAAGGUAACGGCUUACCUAGGCGACGAUCCCUAGCUGGUCUGAGAGGAUGACCAGCCACACUGGGACUUAGAAAAGGCCCAGACUCCUACGGGAGGCAGCAGUGGGGAAUAUUGCACAAUGGGCGGAAGCCUGAUGCAGCCAUGCCGCGUGUAUGAAGAAGGCCUUCGGGUUGUAAAGUACUUUCAGUGGGGAGGCGUUACCCACAGAAGAAGCACCGGCUAACUCCGUGCCAGCCGCCGCGGUAAUUC
rnacentral:rRNA from 1 species